CUGAGGAAAGAACAAAGGAAGAGAGCUCAAACCCUUGCUCCAAAUUUCAAUUCACCACAACUUUUGAUCCGGAGCUCCGAUCGCCGCAUCGUUUGCAGCCACGCGUCCGCAGGAACGAGCUCUACAAAGUCCGGUACCUUUCAAGGAUCAAAUUGACUUGAGAAAUUAGUGGGUUUGGUUUGAUUGAGGCACAUACAAGGUUAGGUUCAUCAACCCUAGCCAAUUUUGGUUCUAGUAUGUUAAAUGUGAAUUUUGAGUAUGUAUGGUUAUAUAUGUGAAAUUAGGUGUAUAAGUGUAUAUGUUGGAGCUUGAAUUAUGAGCAUUGGAACUUUAUGGAGGUUGGGUACUUGAGCUUUGAUGAUUUUGGGGGCUUGAGGGGCUGUGUUGGUUGGUGUUUCGCCUUGGACAAUACGCGGAAAUCGGUCAAGGUAUGGUUUAGGUUUCGCGUAUUUAAUAUGUAAUGCCCUGUGAAAACUUAGGCUAGAGAACUAUAGGAUAAGUUGAAAUGUGCAUGUAUGUUGAUGUUUAGCAACCUUGAUGGAUUUAUUAAAUGAUAUUGAGAAUGUGUGGUGAUUGAUGGUUAUAUUGCAAGUGUGGUGUUGGUAGUGAUGAUGAAUUUAAUUGAGUUUGAUGGAGAUUGUCUUAGCAUAUUUGAUAUUAAUUAGCAAAUUCUUGAUGUAAGAGUUGAGCCAUUCAUGAGAGUGGUGUGAAGCACUUAUUGUGGGUAAUUAUUGGAUAAAAGGGUUAAAUGUACAUGUUGAUAUGUGUGACAAGGGAGCUAUAUGUAAACAUGAGUAUAGUUGUUAUUGUGUUGAAUUUGGAAUUGUGAAUAUGUAAGGAGUUAUUGAAUGAUUGAGAAGGUUAGGUGUGGUGUGUUGUAAAAUGUAUGGAAGGUGUAGGGUUGAGUAUUGGUAUGCCUUGGUUGUGAAAUGUUUGGUUGAAAAUGAGAUUUUGGUAAAAAUGGAGGUUUGGCAUAUUUUGGUAAGAAUUGAUUUUUGAUGAACUUUGGUAGUCCAUAACUUGCUCCUCAAAUUUUGGAUGAAAAUGAGAUUUAUUUCAAAUUAAAGAAGGUUUUAUAAGAUUGAGAAUGAUAUAAGGUUUGCGGAAAACCGAAUUCUGUAGAGAAAGUUAUGGACGCCGGAAAUCUAGUGCUAAAAACUGAAAUUUUUAAAGAUGCAGUAGAAUCAGGAUUUCUGGUGUGUGCCCACGCAUACUGCUAUGCGCACUCACCCAGCAGUAGCAGAAACUCGUACGCACGCCUUUAUGCGCACGCACACCUGAUGUUUUUCAGAAAGUGUGCGUACGCACGCCCUUGUGCGCACGCACGCACCAGGAUAUGCUUUCUGCUGGUGGCGCUCGCAUAGGUGAGGCGCAUGCACACCAAGUAAUUCCUGGUUGGUUUGCGCACGCACGCACUCGCACUACAAGAAAAAAGGUCUAUUGGCAUACUUAUUUCUUGCCACACUUUUUAAGCGUGCCCAAAAGUGGUCUAUGGCCACACUUUUGCGAGGGUGGCCACUGAUUUGUGAUUUAGCCACGCUUUUUUUUGCCACGCUUAAGAAAAUCGGCACGCUUUUACGAGGGUGGCCACUGAUUAAAAGUUUGGCCACCCUUUUUUUGUCACGCUUAACAAGCGUGGCCAUAGAGGAAAACCGGCACACUUAAAAAGCGUGGCUAAUUUGUGUUUCAAUGGUCACUUUUUUAAAGCGUGCCCAUAUUCUGUUUAUUUUGGCACCCUACAAAAAAACGUACCGAUAGAAUUUUUUCCCCCAAAAUUUAGUUUUCCACCGAAUUUUUUUCCACACUUAGCUUUUUUUUCGUUAGUUUACCCUCAAACAACAUCACAUUAGUUUACCCUCAAACAACAUCACAUUAGUUUACCCUCAAUCAAAAGUGACCCAGUCACAAAAAAAAAAACCUAAAAGCUAAGUUACCCGCGCCGUCAUCAUCCUCAAACAACAUCUCCAUGACCGUUCAUCGUUCAUCGCCUUCAUCUUCAUCGCACCCAUGACUGUUCAUCACCUUCAUCCUCAUCUGUCUAAGCCAAUGACUGUCGCACCCAUGCCAUUCGUCUAACCCUCGCACCUGACCGUCGAACCCUAUUGCUGUUUCUCAACCCUCGCCCAUCAACGCAACCCUUGUUGACCUUCUGUCUGUCGCACCAUCAACGCAACCCUCGUUGGCCCUCUUACUCCCUCAGUGCAGCGGUCUAUCUCUCUCGCAAACCCUCAUAAACACUGGAAUGGGGUGACCCUAGGAAGGAAGAAUUUUACUUCUACAUGAAGUCAUAUUCCCCCGUUGAUGAUGUGAAGGCACAGAAUUAUCCACAUAUUCUUGUCACUGCUGGAUUAAAUGACCCAUGGGUUAUGUAUUCUGAACCUUCGAAGUUCGUGGCAAAGAUGAGGGAUAUGAAGACUGAUGAUAACAUAUUGCUUUUUAAAUGCGAACUUGGUGUUGGCCAUUUUUCAAAGUCGGGGAGAUUUGAGAAGCUCCAAGAAGAUACCUUCACUUAUAUCUUCAUCCUAAAGGCUCUAAAUAUGACGAACGAGCUCAAGUUUUGAAUUCCAUGAGGCAUGGAUGCGGUUAAAGAGAAGGAGCAAAAUACUUCCUUCCUAGGCUUCAUAAAUAACAUGUCAGACAUUUGGGUCGCGUUAGGCAUUUGCAUUGCCCACAACUAUUGGAUUUUCAUUGAUAAAUGAUAAAAUCCCAAAUAAUAUUAUUUUUCUAGGGUUCAAAACCCUAUUAUAUCUGGUUAGUGGUUACUGCGUUGUUGUCAUGCAUGGUUCCGAUCCAGAGAAAAGAGAAAAAAUUUUUAUUAUCCCCGAUCCACGUAUAUAAAGUUUUUGUUAUUUUUGGAAAUUUUAAUUAACUGAUUUGAUUUGAUUUUCUGCUGUUAUGUGAAAUAUUGUUGUAGUUUAUGAAAUGUAUACAUUUGACUGAGGUGUAUCAUUUCCAUGAUAUGAUUGACAUGUUUGUUGGGUGUGGCUACAAGAAAGGAACCACAUUGCUUGGUUAUGGUUAUGACUUCAAGCAAAGCAAUAGAAUUGACAAGCUGAUGGAUGGCCUUAAAGUUAAGUUGAAAACUGCUUACAAAGCCUCUGGUGGAAGGAAAGUUAACUUGAUUUCCCAUUCUAUGGGAGGAAUCAUGAUCCUGUGUUUCUUGUCUCUUCACCGCGAUAUGCGCUUACAAAACUCAUGCUAUUUCUAUGAUAUAUUGCAUAGAGUUAGAGAAGAAAGUUAUCCCAUGUAGUUUGAAAAUACUUACCAGUGAGUUUGGACAUUGUUUUGGCAAGAUUUUGUCAAAUAUGUGAAUAAGUGGAUUUGCUUGGCGUGUCCUUUUCAACGUAAAAAAGUUCACAAAUGUUCCAGAAACAAUUAUGUAUGAUCUAAGGGAAAGAAGUUUAAAAGGGCUAGAGGAAGGAGGAACAGCAACGGAAAUAGAAUUUAAGUUGUAUUGUUUCUGUUUUUUUUUUUAGUUUUUAGUUUUGGAAUUAGAACUCGAGAUUUAUUUUGUAUUUAAGUAUUUGUUUUUUAA